rnacentral:rRNA from 1 species
UACGGAGGAUGCGAGCGUUAUCCGGAUUUAUUGGGUUUAAAGGGUGCGUAGGCGGGCUGUUAAGUCAGCGGUCAAAUGUCGGGGCUCAACCCCGGCCCGCCGUUGAAACUGGCAGUCUCGAGUUGGAGAGAAGUAUGCGGAAUGCGCGGUGUAGCGGUGAAAUGCAUAGAUAUCGCGCAGAACCCCGAUUGCGAAGGCAGCGUACCGGCCGGUCACUGACGCUGAGGCACGAAAGUGCGGGUAUCAAACAGG